AUGGGCUCCAUGGCCGCGGAAAUGACUGCCGUCGAGGAGGAGGCGUGCAUCUACGCCAUGCAGCUGUCUUCCACGGCUGUGCUGCCGCUCACGCUCAAGAACGCCAUCGAGCUGGGCAUGCUCGAGAUCCUGGUGGGCGCCGGCGGCAAGAUGCUGUCGCCGUCUGAGGUUGCGGCGCAGCUGCCGUCGCCGACGACCAACCCGGACGCGCCGGCCAUGGUCGACCGCAUGCUCCACCUGCUGGCAUCCUACAAGGUGGUGUCGUGCGAGGUGGAGGAAGGCACGCAUGCCCGGCGGUACGGCCCCACGGCCGUGUGCAAAUGGUUCACGCCCAACCAGGACGGCAUCUCCAUGGCCCCGCUGCUGCUUCUCACCAAUGACAAGGUCCCUAUGGAGAGCUUGUACCAUUUGAAGGACGCGGUCCUUGAUGGUGGCCUCCCAUUCCACAAGGCACAUGGGAUGACAAUGUAUGAGUACACCAAAACGGACGCGCGCCUGAACCGCGUCUUCAACGAGGCCAUGAAGAGCUACACCACCAUCGUCACCGGUAAGCUCGUCGAGCUCUACACAGGCUUCGAGGAUGUGGCCACCCUCGUGGAUGUGGGCGGCGGCAUCGGCGCCACCAUUCAGGCAAUCACCUCCAAGUACCCGCACAUCAAGGGGAUCAACUUCGACCUGGCCCACGUCAUCGCGGAGGCGCCGCAUUCACCCGGCGUGGAGCACGUCGCCGGCGACAUGUUCAAGAACGUGCCCAGCGGCGAUGCCAUCGUCCUCAAGUGGAUCCUCCACAACUGGACCGACGAGCACUGCACGACCCUGCUAAGGAACUGCUACGACGCGCUGCCUGCGCACGGCAAGGUUGUCGUCGUCGAAGGCAUCCUGCCGGUCAAACCAGAGGCGACGUCCAGGGGGCAGCAGGCGUCCCUCAGCGACAUGAUCAUGCUCACGCACACGGCGGGCGGCAAGGAGAGGAACCAAAGGGAGUUCGAGGAGCUUGCAAAGGCCGCGGGGUUCACCGGUGUUAAGACCGCCUACAUCUACAGCAACACCUGGGUCAUUGAAUUCACGAAAUAG
rnacentral:rRNA from 1 species